CGGCAUCCCCAUUACCUAUGGUCACGGUGCUGGAAGCUCUGGGAAGGGUUACCCUUCCAAUGGUGAAUUGAUCAGGAGAGCUUUUCCGUGUCCCA
rfam:Chlorobium chlorochromatii CaD3, complete genome.